rnacentral:tRNA from 1 species
GGUGGCUCAGUGGUAGAGUGAUUGCCUUGCAUGCAUGAAGCCCUAGGUUCGAUUCCUCAGCACCA